UCAAUAAGCGGAGGAAAAGAAACUAACAAGGAUUCCCCUAGUAACUGCGAGUGAAGCGGGAAAAGCUCAAAUUUAAAAUCUGGCGGUCCUUUGGCUGUCCGAGUUGUAAUCUAGAGAAGUGCUAUCCGCGCUGGACCGUGUACAAGUCUCCUGGAAUGGAGCGUCAUAGAGGGUGAGAAUCCCGUCUUUGACAUGGACUGCCAGGGCUUUUGUGAUGCGCUCUCAAAGAGUCGAGUUGUUUGGGAAUGCAGCUCAAAAUGGGUGGUAAAUUCCAUCUAAAGCUAAAUAUUGGCGAGAGACCGAUAGCGAACAAGUACCGUGAGGGAAAGAUGAAAAGAACUUUGGAAAGAGAGUUAAACAGUACGUGAAAUUGCUGAAAGGGAAACGCUUGAAGUCAGUCGCGUCGUUCCAGGGAUCAACCUUGCUUUUGCUUGGUGCACUUCCUGGUUUGACGGGUCAGCAUCAAUUUUGACUAUUGGAAAAAGAUUAAGGGAAUGUGGCAUCUCUUGAUGUGUUUAUAGCCCUUGGUCGCAUGCAAUGGUUGGGAUUGAGGAACUCAGCAUGCCGCAAGGCCUGGGUGUCAAAACCACGUACGUGCUUAGGAUGCUGGCAAUAUGGCUUUAAUCGACCCGUCUUGAAACACGGACCAAGGAGUCUAACAUGCCUGCGAGUGUUUGGGUGGAAAACCCGAGCGCGUAAUGAAAGUGAAAGGUUGAGAUCCCUGUCGUGGGGAGCAUCGACGCCCGGACCAGACCUUUUGUGACGGUUCCGCGGCAGAGCAUGCAUGUUGGGACCCGAAAGAUGGUGAACUAUGCCUGAAUAGGGUGAAUCCAGAGGAAACUCUGGUGGAGGCUCGUAGCGAUUCUGACGUGCAAAUCGAUCGUCAAAUUUGGGUAUAGGGGCGAAAG
rnacentral:rRNA from 1 species